GGAAGUAAAAGUCGUAACAAGGUUCCGUAGGUGAACCUGCGGAAGGAUCAUUAAAAACGAGACCUGAUUUUCAAGGUCUAUUAAUAUCCUACCCUUUGUGAAUUUGUUUGUUUAUUAUGUGUCUUUCCUGGUUUUGAUGGAGCCUGUAAAGUGAAAUCAAUCCAGGGAAUGGCAAAACUUUUUUUUAAAUUAAACUUUUUGUAUUCAUUUGUCUAAAAUUAUUUUAUAAUAUAAAACAACUUUUGACAAUGAUCUCUUGUUCUCGCAACGAUGAAGAACGCAGCAAAAUGCGAUAAGUAGUGUGAAUUGCAGAAUACGUGAAUCAUCGAAUCUUCGAACGCAUAUUGCACUUUUUGGUUUACCAAAAAGUAUGUCUGUUUGAGUAUCAGUAAAUAUUCUCAUAAAAACUAUUGUUUUAUGGUUAUGAGUGUUUUACAACGAUAAACAAGUUGUUUCACUUUAAAUUCUUUGUCUUGUAAAAAUCAUUAAAAACUGAUUUUUUUUAAAUUGGAUAAAAUUUUCCCGUAAAAGGAAUAACCUAAAAAUUUUGAAAAAUUAUUAGUUUGAUUUUUUCUUGAAUCCAAACAAAGGAAAAAAGUAAAAAUUAACUUGAUCUCAAAUCAGAUAAGAGUACCGCUGAACUAAGCAUAUCAAUAAGCGGAGGAAAAGAAACUAAUAGGAUUCCCUCAGUAACGGCGAGUGAGCGGGAAGAGCUCAAAUUUGAAAUCUUCAAGUUCUACCUUGCGAAUUGUAGUUUAAAGAAGUGUUUUCUGUUGGAGUUUUGGUAAAGUUCUUUGAAUAGGACAUCAUAGAGGUGAGAAUCCCGUAUUUGACCAUUAUUCCAACUUUGUGAUACACUUUCAAAGAGUCGGAUUGUUUGGGAAUGCAGUCAAAUGGUGGUAAUUCAUCUAAGCUAAAUACUGGCGAGAGACCGAUAGCGAACAAGUACCGUGAGGGUAAGAUGAAAAGAACUUUGAAAAGAGAGUAAACAGUACGUGAAAUUGUCAAAGGGAAGCGUUUGACACCAGUGUUGUUUCUCGAAAAUCAAUUAAAAAUGGUGGAUUUGUGUUGUAUUGACUUUAUCAGCUUUCUGCACUUUUUUCCUAUCUUUUUUAAUGCACUUUUCGUUUAACAAUCAACAUCAAUUUCUUUUGUUGUAAAAGGGUCAUUGGAAGGUGGCUUUCUUUCGGAGAAAGUGUUUAUAGCCUUUGGCCUCUGCAAUCGGAGAUUGAGGUCUGCAGCGUAGAUCCUUCGGGUUAGAUACAUUUGUGC
rnacentral:misc_RNA from 1 species